rnacentral:piRNA from 1 species
GAAAAGGAGAAGACGGUGUCUCUAGGGAGA